GACAGAGGGUGCAAACGUUGUUCGGAAUUACUGGGCGUAAAGCGAGUGUAGGCGGUUUCCUAAGUCAGGUGUGAAAGCCCCGGGCUCAACCCGGGAAGUGCACUUGAAACUGGGAGGCUAGAGUAUCGGAGAGGUUGGUGGAAUUCUCGGUGUAGAGGUGAAAUUCGUAGAUAUCGGGAGGAACACCAGUGGCGAAGGCGGCGACCUGGGCCAAUAUUGACGCUGAGGUGCGAAAGCGUGGGGAGCAAACAGG
rnacentral:rRNA from 1 species